rnacentral:rRNA from 1 species
CCCCACUGGGACUGAGACACGGCCCAGACUCCUACGGGAGGCAGCAGUAGGGAAUCUUCCGCAAUGGACGAAAGUCUGACGGAGCAACGCCGCGUGAGUGAUGAAGGUUUUCGGAUCGUAAAGCUCUGUUGUUAGGGAAGAACAAGUGCAAGAGUAACUGCUUGCACCUUGACGGUACCUAACCAGAAAGCCACGGCUAACUACGUGCCAGCAGCCGCGGUAAUACGUAGGUGGCAAGCGUUGUCCGGAAUUAUUGGGCGUAAAGGGCUCGCAGGCGGUUUCUUAAGUCUGAUGUGAAAGCCCCCGGCUCAACCGGGGAGGGUCAUUGGAAACUGGGAAACUUGAGUGCAGAAGAGGAGAGUGGAAUUCCACGUGUAGCGGUGAAAUGCGUAGAGAUGUGGAGGAACACCAGUGGCGAAGGCGACUCUCUGGUCUGUAACUGACGCUGAGGAGCGAAAGCGUGGGGAGCGAACAGGAUUAGAUACCC